rnacentral:sRNA from 1 species
CGAGUCAGUUCGACUCCGAUUUUCACAGCGAGCAGAGCACACAUAUGAAGAUGCCAACUUCUUAUCAAAUCGCAUUGACCUUUGCUUUGGUACUUUGCCACGUCCAACUUCAAGGCGUGGCUCCUGGCCGGGUCAUCCAUCACAGUCAAGUGCAUCGACGAGCGAACACCACUCGCCUAACGCCAGCACACACGCACCAUGUGGCGUCGAAUCACACACGGUUUGGCCAAGCCAGAAGAUUGAAUAAUACUUCGAUUGUAUCGUCUCCAAGAAACGUUACCGUGCCUGUUGCUCACAACCAAACGUGGCCAAUACAAAAUGACCAGCCUGGUUUUAGACAGCCCUCCCAGUCUCCUGUUCACAACCAAACAUGGCUGUACACCAAUCAGACCUACUUCAGCUCGGCACCUGGAACUAUACCUUUAUAUCCUCCAGAGGGGCUUCCAAGCCAAGUGCCGACGUCAUCUCUAUGGGAUGGAUCAGCAUCCGGUAUCUUUCUAGCGGACAAUAAUACACUUGUUGGCAACUCAUCGUCAACACAGGGUCCGAGUCCAGCGCUUGUGGCGAGCAACCACAAUGGCUCUUUGGCCUCGGCAUUAUCCAGCAAUUCGACGAGACUGCCACUUGCGCCAGGUAGCAAGCCGUAUUCCUCUAGUCCAUAUGCAAAUCUGGUUUACUAAACGAAGAGGAUGAUAGGCUCCCCCAAAUGAAUAAAGCUUGGACUUAAAUUUUUUCAAAAAACAUUUUAUUUCGCUGCCAUUGCGUUGCGGCGAUCAGUUAAUUGGACCAUCGGUAAAAAUAUGUUGGUUGCUUUCCGGUAUUCCAGAAGUGUUAAAUAAAAAUGUAUGUGUGUAGAAAUGAUGAAUUUUCCAUAAAUGGGCUUGGCUUAGACAGGGGUGCGGAUAUUUUUGGGACGGUGAUCACGGCAUCAUCAAGUAUAUCAGCUUUGAACCAUCGAAUAAAUUAUAUUGUGAUUGCCUAAGUUAACGCUGCGCCAAGAUUUUUGGAAUACCACCGAUGAUUUUGUAAGCCGAAGUGGAGCGGAUCCCUCGCCGCCGUCCAGCGCUCCCACGCCGCAGUCAAGAUCUCCCCCGCCGCAGUCAAGUGCUCCCUCGCCGCCGUCAGCAGCCACAUCCCUCGCCGCCGUCAGCAACCACAUCCCACGCCGCCGUCAAUUCAAUCCUCCCUCCAGUUCCCACGCCGCAGUCAUGAUCAUAGCGCUUGGCGCAUAGAGCCCUUGCCAAAAUCCCACGCAGCAAAAUGGUUAUCCCACGCCGCAGUCUUGACGUUCGGAUCCAUCCAUCGCCGCCGUCAUGUGUAAGUCGGGAUCCCUCGCCGCCGUCGAUUUGGAAUCUCACCACGCCGUCGUUGUGCAUAUUGAAUCCCACGCUGCAGUCAAAUCCGAAUUAAAUGAAACUUGCAAUCCACGAACAAAAUCUAAUUCUCCUCACGAAGGGUCCUCACAGAGCAAAGUUAAGCGUCAACAUCACAUUAGUUAAGCGACCAGUAGCGAAGCGAUAAGUGAAUGCCACAUGCCACCGCCAACGGUGGUAAUGGUAAUGGCAAUGGCGUUGGCGAUCACCGCGUCCAACUGCAGCAGUGUUGCGAAGAAGGGGCAAAUGUUGGAGAACGGUCUGAAGUUGUCAUCAGUAUCAUGUCAUUAAAGCAGAGUCAACAAGCUAUCCCAAGCCAGUGGUACGAGGAACGAAUUGGUACGGAAUUGUUAUUGGUGCAGGUCGAUGGAAGUGUUCAGGAUAAUGAUAUGUGGCCUGCAUCUCAGAUCUUGGACCAGUCAAUAUGCUGCUCCAGAAAGCGAUCGCAGAAGCCACUGGCGAUGUCGAAUUGAACAGAAGAAGGCUCGGCUCCCAGAGAUAUCUCUUAGCCGGUUCUCGUAGCGAAAAUGAUCAAUAGCGUGCACUCCCAGUCGUUUAGUGCGCCUCUUGAGUCCACACAGGAUGCGAUUAGAUGAUUCAAAGAGGCCAAUGAAGGAAUGCCUCGAAGGUAGUACAAGGUCGAAGGUAUCAAAAGAUUGAAAAUGUAUGUCCUCUGUAUGCUGCUGCUCCCACUCCUCACUGCCAUGGAUCUUGCCAUUGAUCUAUAAAAGUCGUGGUCCUCCCAUUCAAAUGUUCCCUGCGGCAACAACUGGUACGUCUAGGUGCGACAUGGACCGCUCCAAAAGCCUUUGGAAGGAUAUCCGGUUGCACUCUUCAGGGGAAGUCUGCUACAGCCAUGGCUUUUAAAUUUACAUGUCACAGUAUAACAUAACAUCUUACAUAAGAAAUAUAAAACAAAUUUAAAGGCAACAAAACAUUAACAUUAUCUACGCAAGGUAUUUAAAGAGAACAUAAUUUGAUAGCUCUAACAACUGCAUUACAAAUGCAGUCUGGAUCCUGGACGUGGGCCUAGAAGAGUCUCGCUCUUUAUGAGUCUUUAGGAGCUGCGCUAACAUCGCCUACAUACGCCUACGAGUAGCUGUAAUGAGAGUUUGGAAGGAAACUAAAACAAAAGAAGAGUGUGUUUAAGUUGCCUGUACCGCGGGCGCGUGUCUCUUGGAUUCCCUUUGAGACCAACGUGACGAGUGUGCAGGAAGGCGCGCGGUAAUACAAGUGGAGUGGGCCAGAGCACAGCCGUGGAUCUGGACCUAGCAGGGCAUUAUUUCUGACUCCUAUGUGGAUGUGGGAAUGUGGGGUGUAUAGUCGUUCGUUCCUGGAAAGCGUACAUGCACCAACAACAAAACUGCUAUUAUACCUUUAGGGCCUUGGGACCCUGCCUGCCGCUGUCGCUGUACAUCGCAUUGGAUUCCCUUUACGAUCGCUGUGCUGAAGAAGUAAAGAAUUUGACCAGGAGCUCAACGGGGAGCUCGACUGUAGUACCAUCUCGCAUUUGAUUCCCUUUUGCGGUAUGUUGGAUCGUAGGGCCAGGAGUUAAGGGCUCAACUGGCGGAGCGUAGCGUAGUCAUUGGCUAGCUAGCUCGGUCUUCGAACACUAAUCGCAUUUGAUUCCCUUUUGCGAUGAAUAUGGGUACCUCUAAUUCUGGACUACCUACGGGAGGGAAAGUACAAAUGAAGCGACAACCCGUUGAAAAGCGGUUUCAUCUCUCCUGAGAUCUGCAAAUCUGCGUCAAGCUCUGACAGGCUGAACUGUGGCUGCUGCAUUUCUUCCGUUUCGGAUGCUUGAACACUAAUCGCAAUUGGUUCCCGUUUGCGAUAAACGACUGGCUACGCGUCGUUAGCUGCUGAUCUGUCCGGAUGUUAUUCAAAUACAACGCUGAAAGUGACAAUUAAUUAGCGACGACGACGCUAGGAUGCCCGUAGCGUACUUGCAGGCAGCAGCCCUGUAACAACGACAACACAUCAGCUCACUUCUUCAGCGAAUGCUGGUGAUGGUGCGGUGUAGCGGCUCUCGGUCCAAACGCAUUUGUUUCCCUUUAGCGUGGACCGAACGCACAUCUCUGUGCGGUGCCAAUUGCAUUACGUGCUUAGGCUAGCACAUCGCUCGCAGGACUGUCUCCAGCUCGCUCUCGACGCCCGUGCCCGUGCUCGUGCUCGUGCUCGUGCCAUGGCCCGUGCCCGUGCUUUGGACAGCGGCAGGCGGUAGUCGGCAAUCUUGAACUUGGUCUAGCCUCGUCUGAGCGUUGAUUGAUUCGGUCGGCGACAGGUUGUGUGCUAGGAAGCGCCUUGGUGCACCCUUGGUAGAGACACAAGCGGCCCAUUUUGGGCAGACAACUUGGCUGUAAUGUAGAAACGUUAAGUUUACAUCUAAUUUUAAAGUAGGCGCACGAGACAGGACAGCCUUGCUGCUUGCUUGUUUUGCGUUUUGCUGCUAUACUCGAUGUUCUCUCGAUGUAUUCUGCUCGUUUUGUGCAUUUAGCAUUAGCAUUAGGUGAAAUGUAAGCAGUUGUCGUUGUGGCGAUAGUAUGCUUGCUGGCUUGCUUGCUUGAGACAAGCCUUAAUGGAUGGACUUGAUGCAUCGUUUUUGAUUCCCUUUAACGAUUAGCAGCAGCACAGUCGCAGACACAAGACUUGCUAGGAGUGCCGUGUAGACCAAGAAACUGGAAACUGACCGGUCCCGGUCCCUCGCUAGCUUGUCCACUCCAAAGCAGUUGCCUUUCGUUUCGUUUCGUGUCGUUUCUACCUAGUCGAUGCGCACAGGAACAAUCAACUGUGAAACACCGCUGCAAGAAGUGCAAAGGAAAUUUAAGACCGCUAAAAGUUCUCACUCUGUAGAGGGGUAGAGGGUCCUAUGUGCCAAGGCAGCCGACCAGUCAAACAAGCCAAAACGUAGUUGCUUCUAUAAAACACUCCAUCCUUGCCUCACCUUCUCAAUAGCUGAAAAACAGGUGCAAACGGUUCUAUUUGAAUUGAGAGACCUGACCUUGCUGUUCGAGUCGAUAGGGAGCUUAGCUUCGAGUCAAUGCAAAUUCGACGUGUUGUAUGGAUGUUGGAUUGCGGUCGAUUAAGUGUUGGUGUUAUUGCUUUCAAGUUGGCAUUUGAUUCCCAUUGCCUCAAGAAAUUUUGCUACAUGUACACGGUAGGUAAUCAGAACAGGCGAAAGUGCACGUGUAAGUUUAACUGUGUGAUCGGAUCGGAUCAUCCCACGACCAUUGCGAUUUUUUGAUUGGUAUCAGCACUGUAAUGAAUACAUUAAUAUGAGGCGCUUUUCAGUGGGAAAGAAGAGAGGGGAACUUUAGUAAAAACGCUUAUUCUCCUGGGCUCCCAACGCUGUGUGACGGGUGUAACGUGACUGUAACUGUGACUGUGACUGACAAUCCAGUAUACAGCCAGUAUACAUAUGGCUCUGUCUGAAGCUGUCGAUUGCUCCUUCUUGAUUUCGAUGGCAAUUCCCAGGCUAUGCUUUUUCGAUUGUACAAUACGAACGAGUAGUUGUAGACGUGGGCAGGCACGGUCUACUGCAACCACAACUCUACAAAAAUAAAGAAUGAUUUUGUUCCACAUUUCAAAUGAUUUACAUUGGGCGGACGCUGGGCGGACCACCCCUCGCAGACUUGAACGAAAUUUCCUUGCAUCUAGUCCUUUUUCGGACAGUCCACACCACAAUAUGCGCAGGCACUGUUCAACUGCGGCAUAUUUCUACAAAAUAUGAAAGAAAUGAUUUCGAUUGCAAUGUCUUAGCUUUUGUAACUGUCUGGUCUCUGAUGUCUGGAGUCUUGUGUCUGGAUCUUCCACCAAAUCGGAUAGGAUAAGCGAUUGCGAAACGACUCCUGUCCGUCCAUACGACGAAUUCUUCAGUUUCAGAAUGAUUCGGUAUAGGAUUAUGUAUCUAUGCAAAUCUACAAGAAGAACGAAAUAUCCGAGAACAUGGGUGCCCAUACCAAUCGUAGAAGCGGAAGUAGAAUCAUGUCCGUGUCGUAAGGAGAGGGGGUCCGUUUUCCCAGCUACCUUUAGUUGUUGGUUGAGCUGUAGGAUCUGGCUCAUAAAAGCUACAUGCAUAUGUGCUAAAAGAGAAUUUGAAACAAAAGAAGCAUUUUGUUCGAAUUUCGUUCAAAGACCAGUUACGCUUUGUUAUUUAUCCCAUCGACUGCUGCUGCCGGAGGUCGUAGACUUGUGACAUUCAAGAAACCAAUUCAAAUUAUAGCAUCCUCGUCCCCACACGCUCCAUGCACAGCACAUGCACGCAGGUACCGCUCAACUGCGCCACAUUGCUGCAAAAGUAAACGAAAAGUGAUGCUUGUUCCCAGACUACAAACUGAGUUACGUGUGUGCGUGUGUGUGUGUGUUGUGUAUGACAAAGAUACUAUUUCUUAGCUGGUUGGCAGCCGCUCUCCUCUCAAAGAUGUCCAACAUUUGGAGCGCGAAUGGAGAAGAAACUUUGCUGGCACCAGACACUCACAGGAACAGUUCGACUGUGACGCAUCGCUACAAAUAUUAAAAUCGGCCUUACAAUAGCCCAAUGGUUAGGAAAGUACAGAGUAUCGGGUA